GGGGGUAUAAUUGAUAAUAUUAGGUUUAUUAGGACUCUUUAGGCUAUCUCGAAAUUAUGAUUUAGGCAUAAUUGACUUAGUUGCUAAUGUUUUAGGGAGAAUUUCUACCUUAGGGCUAAUUAUGGUUUAUUUAUCAUCUAGAGGUGGGUUAAGAUACCUUAGCCUUAUCUAGGGUAGAAUUUGCCUAAAAUGGAUUUCGUGAAUUAGAUGUGGG
rnacentral:lncRNA from 1 species